AGUUAACGUUGGCGGCGUGCCUAACACAUGCAAGCCGAACGCGUCCUAAGGGCAACUUUAGGAUGAGUGGCGAACGGGUGAGUAUCACGUGGGUAAUCUUCCUUCAAGUGGGGAAUAAGCUCUCGAAAGGGAGUCUAAUACCGCAUGACAUUCCGGGACACAAGUCCCGUAAUCAAAGCCGCAAGGCGCUUGAAGAUGAGCCUGCGUCCUAUUAGCUAGUUGGUGGGGUAACGGCCUACCAAGGCUUAGAUGGGUAGCCGGCCUGAGAGGGUGAACGGCCACACUGGGACUGAGACACGGCCCAGACUCCUACGGGAGGCAGCAGUGAGGAAUUUUGCGCAAUGGGGGAAACCCUGACGCAGCGACGCCGCGUGGAGGAUGAAGGCCUUCGGGUCGUAAACUCCUGUCAGAGGUGAAGAAUACCCGCAAGGGUUUGACGGUAACCUCAGAGGAAGCCCCGGCUAACUACGUG
rnacentral:rRNA from 1 species